UGGUGUAGGCUUUUGCCAUGUGAAAGGAGCUUGGCGAAUAAGUGGUGGGUAAGACGGGUGCCAGCCGCCGCGGUAACACCCGCGCCACAAGUGGUGGUCGCGUUUAUUGGGCCUAAAGCAUUCGUAGCCGGUUUAGCAAAUCCUUUGUAAAACUGUUAACUUAAAUUUAACAACGUUCAAGGGAGACUACUUUACUCGAGAUCGGGAGGAGAUAGGGGUAUUCCAGGGGGAGUGGUAAAAUAUUAUAAUCCUUGGAAGACGACCCGUGGCGAAGGCGCCUAUCUAGAACGAGUCUGACGGUGAUGAAUGAAGGCUAGGGGAGCGAUCCGGAUUAGAUACCCGAGUAGUCCUAGCAGUAAACCCUGUGAGCUAUGUGGUGCAUAUUCUUAGUGAAUAUGCAGUGCCGUAGUGAAGACGUUAAGCUCACCGCCUGGGAAGUACGGCCGCAAGACUGAAACUUAAAGAAAUUGGCGGGGGAGCACUACAAGGGGUGCGGCGUGCGGUUUAAUUUAAUUCCACCCAGAACAUCUCACCAGGAACGACGGCAGGAUGAAGGUCAGAUUGAAGGUCUUACCUAACGAGCCGAGAGGAGGUGCAUGGCCA
rnacentral:rRNA from 1 species